AAUACAAGCAUGUAGAAGGGCCUGUAAGCAUGACAAAGCAUCUUAGUAACAGGUUGACACAGCGAUGUCUAUAUUUUGAGCAACCCAGCCUCACUGUUCAUAACCGUCUUAAUGAAAAUUUAUAUGGAAAUAAAUAAUUGGUGGGCAUAUACUUUUAUGCUAAAAAAUGCAUAAUUUUUCUAUAAGACAACAGAAUGUGAUUGAAAUGCAUCUGAUUCCAUUCAAAAUCACAUAGAUCAUCGUUAAAAACAAUGAUAGUAAAUAGUGGCACAAUGUUACAAAAAUAAAAACCCAUUUUUUCUCUUGUACUUUAUUAGCAUCUAACAUCUAUAAGGAAAUUUUCUUCCCAAUGAAUUUUAAUUGGUCAAAUAACACAUCACAAAGAGUAGCGAUUCAAAUUGCCCAUUACAGGCUACUUUCUUUUUUCUUCCUCAAACUUAAAAACCAAGAUAAAAGAGAGAAAACCUUCACAACAGA
rnacentral:misc_RNA from 1 species